rnacentral:rRNA from 1 species
UCGGAUUGUAGGCUGCAACUCGCCUACAUGAAGUCGGAAUCGCUAGUAAUCGCGGAUCAGCAUGCCGCGGUGAAUACGUUCCCGGGCCUUGUACACACCGCCCGUCACACCAUGAGAGUUUGUAACACCCAAAGCCGGUGGGGUAACCUUUUGGAGCCAGCCGUCUAAGGUGGGACAGAUGAUUGGGGUGAAGUCGUAACAAGGUACC